rnacentral:misc_RNA from 1 species
CACAGUGCGAAACAUGGUCAAUUUUAAGAAUAUACCAAGCAAUUGCCAUUUUUUAAACAAUACUAUUAGGGAUCCAAUACCUUAAUUAUAUGCAUUGUAUGUACAUUAACUGAUUAAUUAAUUGAUUGAUAAUUUAAUGGAGGUAUAUUCUCCCAUCCAUCAUUUAUAAAGAACACGGUGAAAUGGACAGGUUUAUUUCCUUCAGCCUUAUUAAUUAAUGUUAGUAAUUAGCACAUGGGGAGUUAUUCGUUUCAGUACAGCAUUUUACAUAUUAAAACGCGCUUACAAACGUUUAAGAUCAUACAAAAUAAGUUACUGUUAUAAUUCUGAUGAUAUAGAUACUGACUUUAAUCAAUGUGGAUAAAUUUGACAAAACAAGAGUUGAAAUUGUUCUUUUCUCUUUAUUUUCUAUUACAAUUCCAUUAAUAUUUUGAAAAUUAGCUGCACGAAGAUGCUUUUCAUAGCAAACUAAAUGUGAUCUUAAUCGACAUUUUAGCUAGAUCACAUGCCAAUUAUUUUUUUACAAUGACAUUUAAUGCAUUAAAUGCACGCAUGCUGCACAUGCGGUGCUUUUUAUAAUGUGUAAAUGCUAGAUCUGUUGAAUAUUUAUGACGUGACAAGAUAGAAAAUUUAUAACAAGAUGAGAAGAUAUGUUCAUGUUUUAUGGAUUUUAUGUCUGAUGCAACUGAUAUGCACGUGCCAGGCAAGGAAACAUCGCAAAAAAGCACGAGACAAAAUACAAAAAUCAAGUGCAAAAGAAGAUAAACUAUCAUCACGUGAUUCCGUGUCUUUAAAUGAUGUACUGCACGAAAUAUGUCUGCCUUCCGGAUCCGACAGACUGGUUUACAGAUACCAAAAUGAUUCCCAUAUAUUCAUAGGAUUUGAUGACGUUAAACAGGAUACAGUCUAUUCAAUGUCAUGGAAAAUUAACGAAGAAGCGUUAACUAGCAAUAACCGGAAUAGGUUCCAGGCGCUUCCUGCAUCCCAGGUCCGGAAACACGUGAAAACUGAGCAUUUAUUGGCGGCAGCUGACGAAGAGUUGCAGAACAAAUUCCUGUGAGCGUAUUUCUACGUGUAGUCAGUCAAGGAUUACCUCAAGGGCAUGCGUAAUACAGUCGUUUGCUGUUCUGGCAAGGAAGAUGAAGGCAGUUACUUUUGGAGAGACCUGUAAUACAUAAUACCACAUACAAACGUACGCUGCUUUUCAGACCUGUGAUUCCAAGUGCAUAUGUAGAGAUAUUUCGGAAUUAGAAACUUCGAUCAUUUGGGGUUUUUCCCCCUCUGAACUGUAUUGAAAUAUUAGUAAAGUAGAAACACAUUUUACGUUACAUUCAAACAAAAUGAUACCUUUUGCAUAAAAUUGAAGUGUUCACUCAAAAUCACAUACAGUUUUCACAUUCAUCAUACUUAUCAUAUGAAACUUAUCUAGAAACUAACGUUGUCUCUUCAUCUGUCUUUGUUUUCUUUCCAGUGCAAUAAAUCAUUACGUUGUUUACAGGUAACUUAUGUUUAUUUAACAUUUUACGUAAAGGUUCAUAGCCUUUGUGUUUGUGCCGUUUCGGUCUCCGAAAAGUUGUUGAUUCUAGCAUCAAGGUAAUUGAUGUAUACUUACAUCGUUUUUUUUGUACUUUUUAUUGCCUUUGAAACAUUAAGAAGUAAACAUCAAAUUUUGAUUUUCACGGGAAGAAUUUACCAAACUAACUGGUGAGACAUAUAUUAAAUCAGAACAAUGUUUUAUCUUUCAACAUCUGCUAUACAAAAUAUAUAUUCGCUGACAAAGAUUCACAUUUGCAUACAUGUUACGUUGAAAAUUGUCAAAUUGUAAAUGACACAUACGCGAACAUUAUUUAUCAUUUUGUUAGAAGUUCGUUUUGGGUUAUAUGUACAUACUACAUAGAUAAUAACCACAAUUAUGCAUUAACGUGUAACUAUUCCGCAUUAACAAAAAUGUUGACCUUUUAUUCUAAAAUCAUGUUUUUUGACACGUUGAAUGUUCUUAGGUUUCCGGAACCUAUACUAUCAUCAUGGAAACCUUUUGGAUUGAAGCAUCUGGUGCAUUGUCAUUCAAUAUUCUCCAUCAACCUAAAAUAACCAAAGACAAUCAAAAAUGAAUUUACUUGUUUAUGCGAUCUUUUGUUGUCAAAGUAUGUGCGCAGGUUGUGUAUUUCUUACGGCCAGUCUUUUUUUCUUAUGACCGAUACAUAAACUUGAAUGAUAUCUUAGUAUUGUUGUUUCCAAAUAGAGCAUGUCGGCAAUGAUAAAAGCUCUGCUAUAUUUUGAAAAUUUGCAAUACUUUGAAAGCUAUUUCAGAAUGAUUUUAUGUUGCAAUAUAAGGUUUCAACAAAGUUUCAAAUGUAUAAGAAGUUAAGAAGGACAACUUUUUUUCAAAACAAAAUUAACCAAGUUAACGCGAAAUGGCAUAUGCACAUAUAUUGCGGGCUAGUAGAUACUCCAAUGUUAACAAUUCGCGAUACUCAACAAUUUAGAUAAAGAAAACAUACAUUUUAGUGAAAGACAUUUGUUUGUUGUUUUUUUUUUUUUGUUGUUGUAUUUUUCAUUUAAGACAUAUGUUUUGUAGUGUACAAGGGUAGUUUCAUACUUUCAUAUCUAGACAGGUCGAGUGUUUAAAGAAACAACCGUGACGAAGUAGUUUUCAAAUACACGUGUUUUAUUUUUCUCUACAAAAAACGAAGACAUUUCGCACGAGUUCCUGUGGAGGUUAUAGCUUCAUGCAGUACGUUCUUACAGGCACUCAGACAUAACAAUAGUUGGCACUGAUCUCAUAUCCAUCAAUCAUAUAUUAUAAUGUUGUUGCAGUUGUUUUUACGUUGGAAAAUACAAAAAAAAGCUGUUUUCAGAGAAUUAUUCAAAACAAAACUUGACUUCAAUGUAUAAGUUUACCGCGUUAUUUUGAUAUUGCUAUUGUAGAAUAUCAUUAAAUGAGUGUGUAACGUUUUAUCGUACAAAUUGGAAACUAAGAAAAACAAUAACAAUGACCUUACAUUCCAAGAUUCGGCAUAGGAAAAGUUUUUCUAGUAUUAUCAUUGUGAAAACGAGCCGCCUGCUAAACGUGCAAACAUACGUUUUCAUUUCAUCAAAAGUUUAUGGUUAGACUAAAUUUUCAGAUAACACUGAUAUUCCCCCAUAAUUUUGCAUUUUUGAUUUUUUCCCCUUUUGUUUUUGCUUUUACUGCGAAAACCAAAUAUGAGCUUGCUCUAUGUUUAGAAACAAGACAACUUUUUACAUUUCAUGUACAUUGAUUUUAUAACAUAAAAUCAGUCGACAAUUAUCUUAAGGUUCAUUUUCCAAUGCAUCAACAAUUUUGAACACGAUAAAAUUGACAGUUUUAUUUCCAUCUUACACAUUAAUUUAAUAUAAGUAUAAAUGCAUGCAGGACAUUGAACAAAACUAUAAAUGUUAAAUAUACUCAAUGAUAAAUUAUGUAUAAACAUAUUUCAUGGGGAUUUAAAAACAAAUGACCUUUUUCCAUAAAACAAAUCCAAUUGUUCAUUCCACUUGAUACAGAAGUUCCGCCUUUAUCACAAUUAUCGUAAAAAUCAGUUUUUCUGUAAUAUGUUUUCGUACAAUUGCCAUAAAUAUAUACUAUGUUCACAUACAAUUUAUUUUAUUAGGAUAUUUUAAUAAAACGUAAUAAUUAAAAUAUCCUGAGUUCAUAAAACUUAUGUAUCAGUCUAAAAUGUUAUAGAUUCUAGCAUCAAGGUAAUUGUGGCAUAUUUGUAAUGUUUUAUAUAACUGUUAUUGCUUUUGAAAUGUUAAAUGUUUGGUGGUAUCUAACAAACAUCACACUACAUUUUCACAAGUAGCAUUAACCAAUGUAACAGGUGAGAGAUUACAUAAACAACAGAUGUGAAACAUAUUUGUAAACUGUAAAAUGUUUCGGCGUACAAUAAAUAAACGCUGACAAAGAUGUAUAUUUGAAAACAUGUUUCGUUGAAAAUAAUGAGUUUUUAAAUAUGUAAGUGAGCAUUUUUUAUCAUAUAUUGUGGUUGGGUGAUUUCUAUAAAUGAGUAACAUUUUCUGAAUUUAAGUAAUUAAUGCCCUCGCGUUGUUUAUCGUUUGAUUUUCCACAGUUAAGAUGUGCAGGAUUUGAUCAUAACCCUUCAAGCAUCUGAACGAUAAAAAAGUCAUGGAACAUCAGACGAUUAACCAUCAGAUGGUCUUGUUACUUUCACUCUAAGUGCUCAUUAAACAUUAUGAUAGUUAUGCUUAAUUUCAGUCAAUCGAGUAGUAAUGAACCUGACGUCAUGUGGCUAUUUGACUUCAAAAUUGAUGUUAUAAUGUUCAUAUCGAUCAGCGCGUCAAUCGUUGUUUAUCGCGGAAUAUACAAUGUCUGACCUCCACAAACACGCCAUGUUAGAACUGUAGAUACAUAAGCAGAACAGAGAGAACUAAAUUUUAUCUUACACUUGAGCAUUAUGCUCCUGGGCCAUAUAACAUGUACAAUCCAAUCCAAUGUCAACAAUAUAUAUAUAUUUAUUAAAUAAUAUAUUUUAAACAAUCAAAGUAUUAUAUUAAUAUGUAUGAUGAAACAAAAAGUAGUGUGUAGACAACCUAUAACGUAGUAAAGACGGUAUAAACGUACAAGAAUGCCUCAUAUAUAACUGUGACCUCAAGUAUGGUUUUCAUAAAUAAAGUUUGAUAUAUACAUUGCAUAUACUAAUACAGUGAAAGUUGCACACAUACACAAUAUGCAGGAUGAAGUAAAGAUUCGUAAAAAAAGUACGAGGAAAAUGUACACAGUUACAUUUUUGUUAAUCAGUUUAACUAUCGAUAUAAUAUAUUUAUACAUUAUUAUCAAAAACAUCUUAGACCGUAUGCAUUAGAGUGUUAUAUCUGUCAUAUGAUGUUGUAACAACUUGAAGACCGACCCAUUUGUUAUUUAUUUGUGUCUGUAUAAUUGUUAUAUAGUUAUGUAAAUAUUGAAUGUGCAAUAUAAUAUGUUUAAACCAAUUUAUUUCUUAAAUGAAAAGCAGUUUUGGACUCGCUUCCUUUUGGAUUACCGCCACCAAUAAAGUAACACCGUUGAAUGUUUACACUCUAUAAUGGUUUUACACAAACGACAUAUAAGUUUCUGUGUUCGACCUCUAAUUAGUUACAUAAAAAUCUUCAUCACUUCCUUCUAUUUCUAGAAUGUGCACCCCUGUGGUCUACUGAAAUAACUCUAUUGUUCAGAAACGCUUUAUUGUCAAUGAACUGAAUAAUUUGUCUGCGGAGAAGCCGCAGACUGUAAAUUAUUCUUGAGAUGUGAUUAUACGUAUAGUUAUAACAUAGUUAGGAAAGCGCGUUCUAAAUGUGUAAAAGUGAUCAAUAUUUGUAGGAUACUUAUGUUGAAUGAGACUAAACUAUUUAGAGUUCCAUGAGCAAAAUUAAUAUUUUGUUAAUUAGCUUUCAUAGCAAUAUAGAUGGGAUCUUAAUUGACAGUUUAUCUAGAAUGCAUACCAGUUCAUUUUUACAAUGACAUUUUAUGCAUCAAAUGCACGCAUGCUGCACAUGCGGUGCUUUUUAUAAGGUAUAAAUGCUAGAUCCGUUGAAUACUUGUGACGUGACAAGAUAGAAAAUUUAUAACACGAUGAGAAGAUAUUUUCAUGUUUUAUGGAUUUUAUGUCUGAUGCAACUGAUAUGCACAUGCCAGGCAAGGAAACAUCGCAAAAAAGCACGAGACAAAAUGCAAAAAUCACAUACAAAAGAAGAUAAACUAUCAGCACGUGAUUCCAUGUCUUUAAAUGAUGUACUGCACGAAAUAUGUCUGCCUUCUGGAUCCGACAGACUGGUUUACAGAUACCAAAAUGAUUCCCAUAUAUUCAUAGGAUUUGAUGACGUAAAACAGGAUACAGUCUAUUCAAUGACAUGGGAAAUUAACGCAGGUAAUUCAGAGGCGUUAACUAGCAAUAACGGGAAUAGGUUCCAGGCGCUCCCUGCAUCCCAGGUCCGGAAACACGUGAAAACUGAGCAUUUAUUGGCGGCAGCUGAUGAAAAGUUGCAGGACAAAUUCCGUGAGCGUAUUUCAACGUGCAGUCAGUCAAGGAUUACCUCAAGGGCGUGCGUAAUACAGUCGUUUGCUGUUCUGGCAAGGAAGAUGAAGGAAGUUACUUUUGGAGAGACUUGUAAUACAUAAUACUACAUACAAACGCACACGCUUCAGACCUGUGAUUCCAAGUGGAUAUAUGGAGAUAUUUCGGAAUUUGAAAUUUUUAUAAUACUGGUUUUUCGCUGUGCUGUAUUGAAAUAUAAGUGUAAAGUAUGAAAAUAUUUUACGAUACAUUCAAGACAAAUGAUACAUUUGCAUGCAACUGAUUAAAGUGUUUACUACUUUUCAUAUACACAAUGUACAAGUUUAACAUUAACAUAAUUGUCGUAUGAAACUUUCCUAGAAACUACAGUCGUCUCUUUCUCUGUAGUCUUCAUUUUCUUAGCAGUGCAAUAAAUAAGUACGCUGUUUACAGAUAACUUAUGUUUAUUUAGCAUUUUACGUAAAGAUUCACAGUCUCUGUGGCUGUGCCGUUUUCCUCUCCGAAAAGUUGUUGAUUCUAGCAUCAAGGUAAAUUAUGUAUAUUUCCAUCGUUUUAUGUACUCUUUAUUGCCUUUGAAAUAUUGAAAUGCAAACAUAAAAAAAAAUCAUUUUCACAAGAAGCAAGAAGAAUUUACCAAAUGUAACAGGUGAGACAUUUUAUAAGGAACAGAUGUGAAACAUAGCUGUAAUUUGUAAAUUAAAUCAGAACAAUGUUUUGUCUUUCAGCAUCUGUCAUAUAAUAAAUACUCACUGACAAAGAUGUAAAUUUAAAUACAUGUACAUGUUAUGUACAAAAAUUGUCGAUUUUUUAAUGUCAUAAAAGCAUUAUUUUUCAUGCAUAAUUGUCAAGCGAUUUUGUUACUGGCUAACCUGUAAAUACUACAAAUAUACAUGUAGCCAGAAACAGUAUGCAUUAAUGUGUAUUUAUCAUGUUGACCUUACAUUCCAAAAUCAUGUUAUUUGAUAUGUUGAAUGUUCUUGGGUUGCCGGAACCUAAUAUCAUCAUGGAAACAUCUGGUGCAUGUCAUUCAAUAUUCUCCAUCAACAUGACUAUAGUUGUCGAAGUAUGAGCGCAUGUUGUGUAUUUCUUAUGACCAGUUUGUUUUUCUUAUUGCCAAUACAUAAACAUGGAUGA